ACAUGAGGCCCUGGGGCUCAUCCCCAGUCAAAAGAAAAAGGCAUUGUCUUUGAAUAAGUGUAUGAGUUUUCUGUGUUUUUAAUACUUAAGGUACGUUCAGAAAGGUUAAGCCCAAAAUACCUUAUAUAAUUCCAUCAUUUCUAUUUUUCUAGUCUAAUAAUUAAGAAAAUAUUUCUAUAUGCUUAUCUAUGCCCAAGGAGUGUUGAGUACAUUCCAGUUUGUUUGUUUGUUUGUUCCUUUAUUUCUGUUUUUUUCAGUAUAAAUAGGUAUUCUUAUAAUAAAGCCUUGAGUUAUUUACAAUGUAUGUUAUUCUGAUUGUAUGUAUUCUAUUUGAUAUAUAAAUUGUAAAGUAUCUUCCAUACUUUAUG
rnacentral:lncRNA from 1 species